GCAACACUGAAACCAUGGCAGAGAUUCUCGUUGAAGGGAAGCCAGGAGCCUCUAUAGAGCUCCACAAGCAAAGGGACGAUGGUGGCUGCAGGGCGGGUGGGGAAGAGCACAGGCACCGAAAGCUCUCAGAGGUCACCCAAGCGAAGAAGUUGAUUUUGGCCGCCAGGGAAUAG
rnacentral:lncRNA from 1 species